UACGUAGGGUGCGAGCGUUGUCCGGAAUUAUUGGGCGUAAAGGGCUCGUAGGCGGUUUGUCGCGUCGGGAGUGAAAUCCACUGGCUUAACUGGUGGCUUGCUUUCGAUACGGGCAGACUGGAGGUAUGCAGGGGAGAACGGAAUUCCUGGUGUAGCGGUGAAAUGCGCAGAUAUCAGGAGGAACACCGGUGGCGAAGGCGGUUCUCUGGGCAUGUCCUGACGCUGAGGCACGAAAGCGUGGGUAGCAAACAGG
rnacentral:rRNA from 1 species